rnacentral:misc_RNA from 1 species
UGUGGGAGCGAGCCUGCUCGCGAUAGCAGUGUGUCAGUCGACAUUGAUGUUGAAUGUUGAACCGCUAUCGCGAGCAGGCUCGCUCCCACA